AAGUCGUAACAAGGUCUCCGUAGGUGAACCUGCGGAGGGAUCAUUACCGAGUUAGGGUCUCACCGGCCCGAAUCUCCCAACCCUUUGUCUACUUGACCAUCGUUGCUUCGGCGAGCCCGUCCUCACGGACCGCCGGGGGGUCUUCGUACCCCUUGGCCCGUGCUCGUCGAUAGCCCCCCCAAAUUUAAAAAAUCUUAACUAAACGUGUCUUGAAUCUAAGCAUUAUUGUUAAAUAAAAAACAAAACUUUCAACAACGGAUCUCUUGGUUCUG
rnacentral:misc_RNA from 1 species